UUGGCGGACGGGUGAGUAACGCGUGGAAAACCUGCCGUAUACUGGGGGAUAACACUUAGAAAUAGGUGCUAAUACCGCAUAAGCGCACAGCUUCGCAUGAAGCGGUGUGAAAAACUCUGGUGGUAUACGAUGGUUCCGCGUCUGAUUAGCUAGUUGGUGGGGUAAUGGCCUACCAAGGCAACGAUCAGUAGCCGGCCCGAGAGGGUGAACGGCCACAUUGGGACUGAGACACGGCCCAAACUCCUACGGGAGGCAGCAG
rnacentral:rRNA from 1 species